rnacentral:rRNA from 1 species
AUUGAACGCUGGCGGAAUGCUUUACACAUGCAAGUCGAACGGCAGCACGGACUUCGGUCUGGUGGCGAGUGGCGAACGGGUGAGUAAUACAUCGGAACGUGCCCAAUCGUGGGGGAUAACGUAGCGAAAGCUACGCUAAUACCGCAUACGAUCUAAGGAUGAAAGCGGGGGAUCGCAAGACCUCGCGCGAUUGGAGCGGCCGAUGGCAGAUUAGGUAGUUGGUAGGGUAAAGGCCUACCAAGCCGACGAUCUGUAGCUGGUCUGAGAGGAUGAUCAGCAACACUGGGACGGAGACACGGCCCAGAAUCCUACGGGAGGAAGCAGUGGGGAAUUUUGGACAAUGGACGCAAGUCUGAUCCAGCCAUUCCGCGUGCAGGAUGAAGGCCCUCGGGUUGUAAACUGCUUUUGUACAGAACGAAAAGGCUCUGGUUAAUACCUAGGGCUCAUGACGGUACUGUAAGAAUAAGCACCGGCUAACUACGUGCCAGCCGCCGCAGUAA